rnacentral:piRNA from 1 species
UGUGUGCAGGGUCUAUUGAGAAGGU